CACUUCUCUUAAGACAGGCCUUGGAUCGCGAAGACCCGAACCUUACCUGCUCCUUCUUCCUUGAUAGAAUAGCAAGCAGCGCCGCAAGGAACCCAGAGUCUGUGGGAGGCUUAUUACUUCAACUAGUCCCCACGGAUCUCUUAGUUGUUGAGAAGGUUGCCGAAAGCACUUUACUGUUUGACCCGUAUCCGAGGGUCACUUCUCUUAAGACAGGCCUUGGAUCGCGAAGACCCGAACCUUACCUGCUCCUUCUUCCUUGAUAGAAUAGCAAGCAGAGCCACAAGGAACCCAGAGUCUGUGGGAGGCUUAUUACUUCAACUAGUCCCCACGAAUCUCUUAGUUGUUGAGAAGGUUGCCCAAAAGCGGUAUAUAAGGCGUACCAGUCAAUAAACCAGAUAUAAAGAUGGCUACUUUCGCUUCACUACGUAUCUAAUCUCCUAAGCUUUUGGUGCUGCUAGAAAGCGUUCAACCGGCCAGAUCUACUGAAUCAACAGAAAGAUACGUAGGUUUG
rnacentral:lncRNA from 1 species